rnacentral:rRNA from 1 species
CAGCCGCCACGGUAAUACGAAGGGUGCAAGCGUUACUCGGAAUUACUGGGCGUAAAGCGUGCGUAGGUGGUGGUUUAAGUCCGUUGUGAAAGCCCUGGGCUCAACCUGGGAAUUGCAGUGGAUACUGGGUCACUAGAGUGUGGUAGAGGAUAGUGGAAUUUCCGGUGUAGCAGUGAAAUGCGUAGAGAUCGGAAGGAACAUCUGUGGCGAAGGCGACUAUCUGGGCCAACACUGACACUGAGGCACGAAAGCGUGGGGAGCAAACAGGAUUAGAUACCCCCGUAGUCCCUGUCUCCUUAUU